AACGAACGCUGGCGGCAUGCCUAACACAUGCAAGUCGAACGAGACCUUCGGGUCUAGUGGCGCACGGGUGCGUAACGCGUGGGAACCUGCCCUUAGGUUCGGAAUAACUCCCCGAAAGGGGUGCUAAUACCGGAUAAUGUCUUCGGACCAAAGAUUUAUCGCCUUUGGAUGGGCCCGCGUUGGAUUAGCUAGUUGGUAGGGUAAAAGCCUACCAAGGCGACGAUCCAUAGCUGGUCUGAGAGGAUGAUCAGCCACACUGGGGCUGAGACACGGCCCAGACUCCUACGGGAGGCAGCAGUGGGGAAUAUUGGACAAUGGGCGAAAGCCUGAUCCAGCAAUGCCGCGUGAGUGAUGAAGGCCUUAGGGUUGUAAAGCUCUUUUACCCGGGAUGAUAAUGACAGUACCGGGAGAAUAAGCUACGGCUAACUCCGUG
rnacentral:rRNA from 1 species